GACUGCAUCUUUUCCUUUCUGCAGUCGCGGCUG
rnacentral:ncRNA from 1 species